UAGCUCUCAGAACACUCUUCCUUCUGUCUCGGUCUAUAGCCUUUCUUUCCACCCACCCUGGUGUUUUCAGCCACUCCCAUUUGAGUACAUUUAAAUAUCCACCCGUAACAAAGCUUAAAACCUCAGUAAGGGGUCCGGGCUCCCCUGGAGACUGGGAGCCGGGGAGAGAGGAGGGCACCAAGCUAAGGAAGGCAAGAAUUCCUCCACAAGGGGCCCUGAACUUCCAGGGACUUAACAGGUAGACACUUGUGACAGAGCCCAAAACCAUGCCCUGACCAUUUCCAAUGUUAAACAAUGGGGAGUUCCCGUUGUGGCUCAGUGGUAAUGAAACUGACUAGUAUCCGGGAGGAUGCGGGUUCAAUCCCUGGCCUUGCUCAGUGGGUUAGGGAUCUGGGGUUGCCAUGAGCUGUGGUAUAGCUAUGAUGUAGAUGCAGCAGAUUGCUAUGGCUCCUACACCAGAGCCACAGCAACGUGGGAUCCAAGCCACAUCCUCAACCUACACCACAGCUCACUGCAACGCCAGAUCAUUAACCCACUGAGCAAGGGCAGGGAUCAAACCCGAAACCUCAUGGUUCCUAGUCGGAUUCGUUAACCACUGCGCCAUGACAGGAACUCCGACAGGGGAGGUUUUAACACAAAGACAUGAAAAAACAGUCCUUGUUCCCAAGAAGGUGAGUGACCCAGACACAUGGACCACUCAUGGUGAUAAGUGUGAAGAAGUCGAUGGUCCUGAAAGACCCAGGAACAGUGGGCGGGCACGAGAAGCCCUGGGACCCAGCUAGGCUGGUCCAAGAAGAAUUCGCAAGGACUUAAUGCUGGAACUGAGUCUUAAAGGUGGAGUCGGGAGGAGGAGGCCCUGGAUGGCAUGUUCCUGGCAGAAGAAGCCCAGCCCGAGAGCAGAGACACCAAGAAAGCUGGUGGUAAUUGGGAAACUAGGGGAUAAAGUGAACCCUGAGUGUGUGGCCCUGGGGACAGGUGAGACGUGUGGCCAGAAGCCAGAGCCAGCGCAGGAUGGACUUUGAGGCCAGCAAGGAGGCCAAGGCUCCGGGAGAUUACAGAAGGACUGUGGACGGCAGAGACAUACGGUCAGAUUUACCAUUUCAGCAGGAAAGCCCUGGCUGAAACGUGCAGAACGGUUUGGAAGGAACACAACCAGAGGGACACGCAGCACAUUUGGGAAGCUGUUAUGAUAAAAUCACCUGGAAACGAUGAUCCUUGGAAGUCUCUCUCUCCAC
rnacentral:lncRNA from 1 species